ACAAUAAUGCAACUGUGCGCUGUGUUGACUGCUACCGAUAUACAUGUGGGAAAUGCCCAAAGGAGCAAUGGCAGUGCCAGGAUUGUGAGUGACUGCUCAAAUGUAUUUCACUCACAAUGCAUGGUUUUUCAUUCUUUGUAAAUAUGCUUGGGUUUCUUUUUCUUUUUUUUACUAUUUUUAGCACAAAAAUAACAAUUACUUCUGCAACAACCCUCCACACCAAAACUGGGAAAAAGUUGCUUUUUCAUUCUUUGUAAAUAUGUUUUGUUUUUUUAACAAUAAAUGUCAGUGUGUUGAUCCCUUCCUUCCUGUUGAUCCUUUCCACUGCAUACAGCUCAUAGUCCAGUUUAAGUCUUUAUGGCUAUGUUCACUGAGGUAUUUAUCCAUCUCACAACUAAAACUUGCUCUCAAAAGAACCUCCUGAGCUGUAAGGUAUGUCCCCUCCCCCACACAGGUUCAUGUGGCUCCGGCCGUGUGCCACUAACAGCCACAUUUCCAUAACAAAAUGAGUGUCCACAGGGGGGACUUGGGGCCAAUUGGCCGUCUUGUGGGUUUUCUAGGUAAAAAGGCCAAAUGACCGCUCUCUGGGACUUCUAGUGUUAAUGCAUCACUUAUGUGAGCAAUGACGGUGACGUAGCACCUGCUACGUGCUAGUGCUCUAUGAAGGAACAGGCUUUUGAGAUAUGAGAAGCUCCUGCUGGACUUCUGUUGUCAGUGAUACACGUAUUUGGAAAAAAUGUGCUUUCUUCAUGUGUGUUAACACAUCAGGAAAAGAUCAGCAGAUCUGCCGGGUGGAGCACGAAAAGAGAACGCUUACUGAGGAUCACGCGGACACCUUGGCCCUGCUGAGCAGCACGCAGGCUGCGCUCAAGCAGGAAAAACAAAGAAGUGCCCAUCUCCAAAAACAAUGCUGCAAGAAGCUGGCUGAUCAGAAGCUGAGACACCAAAUAGAGCUCAGGAAUCAAGAGGAGGGAUUCCGGAGGGAGGUCUGUGAAAACAUCACCAAACAGAUGGUGUCAGACCUCCCACAGUGUGAUGUGAUCGGAACUGAGACCAGGAGGAAGCCGGAAAAGAUCUCGGAGGAAAAGGAGACCUCCAACAGGAAGGAGAUCCAACUCCUGACCGAGAGAAUCGUCCAGCUGCAGCAAGUCCUCCGUGAAAAGGGAAAAAAGAAGAAACAAAAGACGAAGUUCAGUCUAAUGAAGUUCUUCUUUGGACGAAAAGAGACGAAAUAA
rnacentral:lncRNA from 1 species